GACGAACGCUGGCGGCGUGCUUAACACAUGCAAGUCGAACGGAAAGGCCCUGCUUUUGUGGGGUGCUCGAGUGGCGAACGGGUGAGUAACACGUGAGUAACCUGCCCUUAACUUUGGGAUAACUUCAGGAAACUGGGGCUAAUACCGGAUAGGAGCUCCUGCUGCAUGGUGGGGGUUGGAAAGUUUCGGCGGUUGGGGAUGGACUCGCGGCUUAUCAGCUUGUUGGUGGGGUAGUGGCUUACCAAGGCUUUGACGGGUAGCCGGCCUGAGAGGGUGACCGGCCACAUUGGGACUGGGAUACGGCCCAGACUCCUACGGGAGGCAGCAGUGGGGAAUAUUGCACGAUGGGCGGAAGCCUGAUGCAGCAACGCCGCGUGCGGGAUGACGGCCUUCGGGUUGUAAACCGCUUUCGCCUGUGACGAAGCGUGAGUGACGGUAAUGGGUAAAGAAGCACCGGCUAACUACGUG
rnacentral:rRNA from 1 species